GAUGAAGAACGUAGCUAAAUGCGAUACUUGGUGUGAAUUGCAGAAUCCCGUGAACCAUCGAGUCUUUGAACGCAAGUUGCGCCCGAAGCCAUCAGGUUGAGGGCACGUCUGCCUGGGCGUCACAUAUCGUUGCCCAAUGCCUAUUGCAGUGCAAUAGGAAUUUCUAGGGCGAAUGAUGGCUUCCCGUGAGCGUUGUUGCCUCGCGGUUGGUUGAAAAUCGAGUCCUUGGUAGGGUGUGCCAUGGUAGAUGGUGGUCGAGUUAGAACGAUACCGAUCAUGUGCAUGCUCCCCAAAAUAUGGCCUCUAUGACCCACACGCGUCUUUUGACGCUCAUGACGAGACCUCAGGUCAGGCGGGGCUACCCGCUGAAUUUAAGCAUAUCAAUAAGCGGAGGA
rnacentral:misc_RNA from 1 species